rnacentral:rRNA from 1 species
AAUUUUACCUCGGCAGGGUUUUGGGGGGUUAAAAAUUUCCGGCGGGCCAGGAAGACCCCGCGCCUUUUCAGUUAGUUGGUGAAGUAACGGCUCACCAAGGGCGACGACGGGUACCCGCCUUGAGAGGGCGACCGGCCACACUGGGAUUGAGACACGGCCCAGACUCUUACGGGAGGCAGCAGUGGGGAAUAUUGCACAAUGGGCGAAAGCCUGAUGCAGCGACGCCGCGUGAGGGAUGACGGCCUUCGGGUUGUAAACCUCUUUCAGCAGGGAAGAAGCGAAAGUGACGGUACCUGCAGAAGAAGCGCCGGCUAACUACGUGCCAGCAGCCGCGGUAAUACGUAGGGCGCAAGCGUUGUCCGGAAUUAUUGGGCGUAAAGAGCUCGUAGGCGGCUUGUCACGUCGGUUGUGAAAGCCCGGGGCUUAACCCCGGGUCUGCAGUCGAUACGGGCAGGCUAGAGUUCGGUAGGGGAGAUCGGAAUUCCUGGUGUAGCGGUGAAAUGCGCAGAUAUCAGGAGGAACACCGGUGGCGAAGGCGGAUCUCUGGGCCGAUACUGACGCUGAGGAGCGAAAGCGUGGGGAGCGAACAGGAUUAGAUACCCUGGUAGUCCACGCCGUAAACGGUGGGCACUAGGUGUGGGCAACAUUCCACGUUGUCCGUGCCGCAGCUAACGCAUUAAGUGCCCCGCCUGGGGAGUACGGCCGCAAGGCUAAAACUCAAAGGAAUUGACGGGGGCCCGCACAAGCGGCGGAGCAUGUGGCUUAAUUCGACGCAACGCGAAGAACCUUACCAAGGCUUGACAUACACCGGAAAACCCUGGAGACAGGGUCCCCCUUGUGGUCGGUGUACAGGUGGUGCAUGGCUGUCGUCAGCUCGUGUCGUGAGAUGUUGGGUUAAGUCCCGCAACGAGCGCAACCCUUGUCCCGUGUUGCCAGCAGGCCCUUGUGGUGCUGGGGACUCACGGGAGACCGCCGGGGUCAACUCGGAGGAAGGUGGGGACGACGUCAAGUCAUCAUGCCCCUUAUGUCUUGGGCUGCACACGUGCUACAAUGGCCGGUACAAUGAGCUGCGAUACCGCGAGGUGGAGCGAAUCUCAAAAAGCCGGUCUCAGUUCGGAUUGGGGUCUGCAACUCGACCCCAUGAAGUCGGAGUCGCUAGUAAUACGCAGAUCAGCAGUACUGUGAAUAGUAAUAAAAUCA